ACUUAAUUAGUUUAAUUAAAAAGAAAAUUAUGAUUUGUGGUAUCAUAGAUAUAGAUAGUCUAUCUUAAGUU
rnacentral:tRNA from 1 species